rnacentral:rRNA from 1 species
CCUACGGGGGGCAGCAGUGGGGAAUAUUGGGCAAUGGGCGCAAGCCUGACCCAGCAACGCCGCGUGAAGGAAGAAGGCUUUCGGGUUGUAAACUUCUUUUGUCAGGGACGAAGCAAGUGACGGUACCUGACGAAUAAGCCACGGCUAACUACGUGCCAGCAGCCGCGGUAAUACGUAGGUGGCAAGCGUUAUCCGGAUUUAUUGGGUGUAAAGGGCGUGUAGGCGGGCAUGCAAGUCAGAUGGGAAAACUAUGGGCUCAACCCAUAGCCUGCAUUUGAAACUGUAUGUCUUGAGUGCUGGAGAGGCAAACGGAAUUCCGUGUGUAGCGGUGAAAUGCGUAGAUAUACGGCGGAACACCAGUGGCGAAGGCGGAUUGCUGGACAGUAACUGACGCUGAGGCGCGAAAGCGUGGGGAGCAAACAGGAUUAGAUACCCUUGUAGUC